rnacentral:lncRNA from 13 species
GAGCAUGACUUUCAUAGGCAUAAUUAUGCGUUUCUUUGUAGUACUAAUCAGGGAGCCAUGAUGGAAUUGCGUUACCAUAAUUCUGUUCCCGGGUGUAAUUCCACGUCACUUACUGUAGUUCAAUAACCACGUUUCAUGUCAUAGCUGACACUCCAUUCUUUCUGCAGACAUCUAUGAAUCUUCAUUAGGAUAAGAUAUUCAACAGAAUUUGGAAAACGUGGUUGCAUAAAAACCUGUGUCACGGUGCGUGAAUGAGGACCCAAAAGCGAAUUAACGUAAACAGAACUUCUUUAAUAACAAAACAUAGGUAGGCUCAGAUGGACCGGCAGAUUCCGACAGGACAGGACAAGGUUGCAGCAAACAUGACGAUAGUCUGGUUCAGGCAUGAAAAACACAAACAAGAAUCCGACAAAGACAGGAACAAAAACAGAGAGAGAUAUGUCUGGUUCAGGCAUGAAAAACACAAACAAGAAUCCGACAAAGACAGGAACAAAAACAGAGAGAGAUAUAGAGGACUAAUCAGAGGGAAAAAGGGAACAGGUGGGAAAAGGGGUGACGAGGUAGUUAGGAGGAGACAAGGAACAGCUGGGGGAAAGAGGGGGAGAAAAGGUAACCUAAUAACGACCAGCAGAGGGAGACAGGGUGAAGGGAAAGGACAGAAACAAGACACAACAUGACAAUACAUGACAACCUGAGAUUUUACCGUAAUUCCGUUACCUAAAUUUGCAACUGCACAGUUCUUCCACUAAAUUUGUUUUUGUGAAAUGUUCGCAAAGUAGUCCUUGUGUGUAAGUAGACUUGUAUGGUUUGUUAUAUUUUGAAAUCAAUGGGAUUUUUUUGGCAUACAUUUCAAAGUUUAAAAAAAAGUCCAAGUGUAAUUCUGUUAACAUGUAAUUGCCCAUGUGCAACCUGAUCAAAACCCAUAUCUACUCUGACAUAGUAAUCUACAUCACUUUCAUCAUUCUUUGCGUUUCUCUGCCAAUUAGCAUUCUGUUAGCCCAUUCUGUUAGCCCAUUCUGUUAGGCCAUUCUGUCAGCCCAUUCCGUCAGCCCAUUCUGUUCAGCUCUUUAAUAAAGACAGGUUAAAUUGAGGCCCAGUCCGCCUUUAUCUUAAAAAUAAAGCUGAACAAUUAAAACCCAUGUCUCUUUGCACAGCUUUUGAUCCUUCACAAAGCUUCCACUUGCUGCUUUUGGGGAUGUAAUGUGAAGCGCCCUGGUGGAACUCAAGUGAGGCAGUAAGAGGCAUGGGACGGCUCCCUUGUUUUUGUUCAAUCAGGGGCAUUGUUUAAACUAUCAGUAUGAUUUAUUUGUCUACAUUGACCUACAGACACUGCUUAAUUAUCCUGGCAUAAUCUCAGGGAGCGCCUCCUGACACUUGCAGAAAGGCCAGCCACUUGGGCUCUGUGGACCAACUGUUGACCUGAUGGUCAGCCUAACAGACAGGGGUUAUAGGUCCGCACUGACCACUCCACCACUGUUUCUCUGUGUUGGCCAGACCCAAAGCCCAUGUAGUCAGGCCCUUAUGGCUUCUGGGUCAAUUAUUCUCACCCCCCCCUAAUGAGGUGUUAAAAUUGGACUACGGACAGGACAACUCCCAUUAACAUCAAGUGAUGGCACUUAACCAGUCAGUCCGGCCAUCAGUGAUAAAUCAUUGAGCAAAUGUUUCUCUUUCUUUAGAAAACAGUGAUGUUGGAGUUUCUCUUUCUUUAGAAAACAGUGAUGUUGGAGUGUCUCUUUCUUUAGAAAACAGUGAUGUUGGAGUUUCUCUUUCUUUAGAAAACAGUGAUGUUGGAGUGUCUCUUUCUUUAGAAGUUCAGGUUUCAUUAUAUGUGAGGGAAAGGAAAAGUUAUUUUGCACUUUCAAAUGUGAAAUGUGAAAAAGAAUAUAGAAUUGCUUGAUGUGAAUUAAGGCAAAGGUAAUUACAAGGCGAAGUGAUGAAAACAAACAUUUAAAAAACACAGCUUGAUACCAAACAUUUAACAUGCUUCGUCUUUGUUUAUUCAAUUGUGUUUUCUAUAUGCUUUGAAACCAGGGGAUAAGAUUUUUUACAUUCAUUUGAUCAGUCAAUGAAAUUAAAUGACAAGGUAUGAGUCAUUUUACCAAACAAAGUGCUGCCUUGUCAUUGCAGAAAACUGAAAAGCAACUUGUACCCUGUCAUCGCGGAGCAGCAGGUCGCCUGGUGGUUAGGAGCGUUGGGCCGAAAAGUUCAAAUCUGUCAUUCUGCCCUUAAGCAAGGCAAUUAACCCUUAUUGCUCCAAGGUCGCCGUCAGUAAUGGUUGAUCCCCUGGCUGUGACCCCACUCUCCGAGGGUGUGUCAGGGGGAGUGAGAUAAGCAAAAAAAAGCAUUUCAAUUUCACACCUGUACAGGUUUCCCAGAGUGAAAAAGAACUAUAUAAGCACUUCCUAAUUAUUAUUAGAUGUUUUUUAUUUUCUUGAUAGAAUAUGAUAACAUUAUCAAAACAACAUGAAAUGUCUCUGAUUAAAUAAAAAUAUUAAACAUUAUCAGUACAUUGUCUUCAAGGGUUUGACAUUGCAGCUACAGUAUAACUUUGAUCCCUCCUUGACAGUUCUCAACUANNNNNNNNNNNNNNNNNNNNNNNNNNNNNNNNNNNNNNNNNNNNNNNNNNNNNNNNNNNNNNNNNNNNNNNNNNNNNNNNNNNNNNNNNNNNNNC